UACGAAGGGGGCUAGCGUUGUUCGGAAUUACUGGGCGUAAAGCGCGCGCAGGCGGCUAUCCAAGUCAGUGGUGAAAGCCCGGAGCUCAACUCCGGAACUGCCAUUGAAACUGUUUAGCUUGAGGAUGAGAGAGGUGAGUGGAAUUCCCAGUGUAGAGGUGAAACUCGUAGAUAUUGGGAAGAACACCGGUGGCGAAGGCGGCUCACUGGCUCAUUACUGACGCUCAGGCGCGAUAGCGUGGGGAUCAAACAGG
rnacentral:rRNA from 1 species